GUCUCAGUUCGGACUGUGGUCUGCAACUCGACCACACGAAGCUGGAAUCGCUAGUAAUCGCGAAUCAGCAUGUCGCGGUGAAUACGUUCCCGGGUCUUGUACACACCGCCCGUCACACCAUGGGAGCCGGGAAUGCCCGAAGUCAGCGGCCCAACCGAAAGGAGGGAGCUGCCGAAGGCAGGCCUGGUGACUGGGGUGAAGUCGUAACAAGGUACC
rnacentral:rRNA from 1 species